rnacentral:snRNA from 1 species
UAACUUACCUGGAGGGUAAGUCCAGUAGUCAACUUCGCUGGACUUAUUGGGCAUGAUGGGGCAUUGCACAUCCCGUCCGGUCGUGUUCAACGAAUGUCAUUACGGCAUCUCGGCCUUAUAAUUUCUGGUUUGGAUUCCUCUGGCUUGCCGGGGAAUCCC